AUUGAACGCUGGCGGCAGGCCUAACACAUGCAAGUCGAACGAGUGGCGGACGGGUGAGUAAUGUCUGGGAAACUGCCCGAUGGAGGGGGAUAACUACUGGAAACGGUGGCUAAUACCGCAUACCAUCAGAUCUUCCCCAAUGGGAUUAGCUGGUUGGGGGGGUAAAGGCUCACCAAGGCCACGAUCCCUAGCUGGUUUGAGAGGAUGACCAGCCACACUGGAACGGAGACACGGUCCAGACUCCUACGGGAGGCAGCAGUGGGGAAUAUUGGACAAUGGGCGCAAGCCUGAUUCAGCCAUGCCGCGUGUAUGAAGAAGGCCUUCGGGUUGUAAAGUACUUUCAGCGGGGAGGCGUUACCCGCAGAAGAAGCACCGGCUAACUACGUGCCAGCAGCCGCGGUAAUAC
rnacentral:rRNA from 1 species